UCUAACAAACUUUAUUGGUUUUUUGUCAAUGUAAUAGCACUGGGUAAUUUCGAGUAUACAUUCCACACUCCUCAUCAUUGUCUUCUUCUACACUCUAGCUUCCUCCCUGCAUUACUUGCUCCUCACGACACCACGUAAUCGCGCCAUAAUUAUCAUCAACCUGAAUAUCACCUGCAGAUGGGGUUUUGAGAUUUGAUCAUGGCACGGAGGCCAGAAACAUGUAGAUAGGCCAUAGAAGUUCCUGAAAGUAUAAAGAAAUGUGGUGAACUCUUGCGGCGAGUUUUACCACAGAAUCUUUGUUGCGCCAUGAUGCAAGAAUGGCCACCACUAGUGCUGCAACAUCAGGCUGCAAGGCAGCUACAGGGGGCUGGUUUAUAGUGUGUCACUGAUACAGUUGGUAGAAUCUUUGCCAUGGGAUUUUUUCACAUAUUCCCUCAAACUGGUUAGUAAUGAAUUGUAGUUUUGGGCAAAAACCGACCCAGAGCAACAAAACGGUUAAGACUGCACCAGGAGCCAGAUUGUCUGAACAUGGACCAAACAGGUUCACAUUGGUUUCGUUUUUGGUUCUGGCCCCGUUGAGUUAGACUCGAUGAACAACCCUAAUGGAUCAUAAUAGGCUUCUAGCCAUAAGGAUAGUUUGAAUGAUUGUGAUUAGCAUACACCAUUCGUUUUAGGCAUAAAAUAUAAUCUUUUGUUUGGCUGAAUAUACUCCUUAUGUAUUCUCGCAAAGAAUAAUAUUUCCUUUUUAACUUUG